rnacentral:rRNA from 1 species
GCCUCGUGGAUCAGUGGCGAACGGGUGAGUAACACGUGAGUAACCUGCCCUCCACUCUGGGAUAAGCGCUGGAAACGGCGUCUAAUACUGGAUACGACCGACCCUCGCAUGGGGUGUUGGUGGAAAGAUUUAUCGGUGGUGGAUGGACUCGCGGCCUAUCAGCUUGUUGGUGGGGUAAUGGCCUACCAAGGCGACGACGGGUAGCCGGCCUGAGAGGGCGACCGGCCACACUGGGACUGAGACACGGCCCAGACUCCUACGGGAGGCAGCAGUGGGGAAUAUUGCACAAUGGGCGAAAGCCUGAUGCAGCGACGCCGCGUGAGGGAUGACGGCCUUCGGGUUGUAAACCUCUUUCAGCAGGGAAGAAGCUUUUGUGACGGUACCUGCAGAAGAAGCACCGGCUAACUACGUGCCAGCAGCCGCGGUAAUACGUAGGGUGCGAGCGUUGUCCGGAAUUAUUGGGCGUAAAGAGCUUGUAGGCGGUUUGUCGCGUCUGCUGUGAAAAUUCAGGGCUUAACCCUGGACGUGCAGUGGGUACGGGCAGACUAGAGUGUGGUAGGGGAGACUGGAAUUCCUGGUGUAGCGGUGGAAUG